rnacentral:tRNA from 1 species
GGGCGGUUAGCUCAGCUGGCUAGAGCGCUUGCUUGACAUGCAAGAGGUCGUAGGUUCAAGUCCUAUACCGCCCA